rnacentral:misc_RNA from 1 species
UGAGGCGGCAUGGCCUACUGU